CCCGUGUCUAUCGUACCUUGUUGCUUCGGCGGGCCCGCCGUUUCGACGGCCGCCGGGGAGGCCUUGCGCCCCCGGGCCCGCGCCCGCCGAAGACCCCAACAUGAACGCUGUUCUGAAAGUAUGCAGUCUGAGUUGAUUAUCGUAAUCAGUUAAAACUUUCAACAACGGAUCUCUUGGUUCCGGCAUCGAUGAAGAACGCAGCGAAAUGCGAUAAGUAAUGUGAAUUGCAGAAUUCAGUGAAUCAUCGAGUCUUUGAACGCACAUUGCCGCCCCCUGGUAUUCCGGGGGGCAUGCCUGUCCGAGCGUCAUUGCUGCCCUCAAGCACGGCUUGUGUGUUGGGCCCCCGUCCCCCUCUCCCGGGGGACGGGCCCGAAAGGCAGCGGCGGCACCGCGUCCGGUCCUCGAGCGUAUGGGGCUUUGUCACCUGCUCUGUAGGCCCGGCCGGCGCCAGCCGACACCCAACUUUAUUUUUCUAAGGUUGACCUCGGAUCAGGUAGGGAUACCCGCUG
rnacentral:rRNA from 1 species